UGAUAUAGUUUGUCGCGUACCUCAUUGUUAGAGGAUCUUUAAAUUUGAGAACAAUGUCCUUUUAAAUUUAAUAAUAACAUUCUUUCUAUUAUAUCAUUCAUAUGAUAUAAGAAUGAGAAUUAUCGAAUACGUAUGUGUGAGAUAGUUUUCAUGUUUUGAAACACGUGGGUUACAGAAUAUCACCGUGCAGUGGACUAUUUAAUCAAAAUAAAGGAAAAAUAUAUAGAUAUACACUUCCCUCGGUCUGUUAACUAAUAUACUCAUGUUUCAGUUUAAGUGUAUUUAUUGUGGAGAAGCGCGAGUAGCAGAUAAUUUUCGUUCUUUUCAUAGAUUUCCAUUAAAUGAUGUUGAAUUGUUGGAAAAAUGGAUUAAAAAUAUAAAUUAGGGCCAUAUUUCAAACCUGGCAAGUUGUCACGAUUGUGUUCGGAUCAUUUUGAGGAAACAUGUUUUUCUAAAGAUACUAAACGCAGUUUACUACCAAAAAGCGUUCCUUCAAAAUUUGGAAUUUAUAAAUCCUGUUGCACUUUUUGUCAUGAAAUAAAAGGAGCCAAUAAAGUUUCAACAAUAUUUACAAGAGAAGAAAUUUACGCCCACUCUAACUGAGCAAAGAAACCUAUUGGAAAAAAAUGUUGCUUGCAAUAAUGGAUGAAAAAACAUGUCACUGAAUUCUACCUUUAAAAACCAUAGAGUUAUUAGAAUAGAGUGCGCAAGCGACCAAAAUGUUUCUUAGGCGCAUAGACGGAGACAGCCAUACGAAGAGAAGACCCCUUUCCUUUCUUUCUCUAAUAACGCAUGCGCGAUAGUGAAACAGCUGAUGCAUCGAAACAACUGUUGCUUGCUUGCAAUUAUAUUUUUCUUUUAUUUACAUGACAAAUAAAUAAUUUAAAAUAAAUUUAAAAUUAAAAUAAAACAUUUAUAAUAUUUAAAACAAUUUUUCAUGCGAUCUUUUAGACAAAAACCUAACCAAAAACUUUCAUUCUUGCACAUGCGCCAAUAAACAAGGUAAGAAAAGGGGUCUACUUUCAUGCUUUUGUCUCUUUCUAUGCGCCUAAGAAUGCCUCUCACGGUAAAAGGUAUAACUCGCGCACUCUAUUCUAAUAACUCUAUGUUAAAAACUUCUAAAAAUUUUUAUUGAAUGCAAAAUGAUUAACUCGAUGAAUUUGUAAUAAUUUUUAUGUAUAUUUAUACAAAGUAGAAUAUUCACUUUAGUCUGAUUUUUAAACAAAUUUAAAAAAAUCUCAUUUUGAAUUUUAAAUUAUACAAAUUUAUAAAUUUCCU